CUAGGGAGGCUGGUACACUUGGCAAGCCCGUGCGUCUUUUCUUCUGCUCCUCCUCUGUCCCCUACCCUAGCCUCUCUGCACUCUGGGGCAUUGUCAGCCUGGACCCAUCCCUGCUUCUGAGGACUGGAAAUGCCAGUAUCUGUGGAUGUCACCAGAAGGAAAGGCGCCUGAGCUGCCUCUGAGAGGGAGCAGUCAGAACAAGGAGGGCUAGAGAAAAGCUUCAGCAGGACUGGCAAAGGGAACGGGAACUUCAACAAUUGCUAGAAAACCCAGCUACAUCCUUCAAUCAAGCUACUGGGUAGUGGUUUUUAUUUCUAAGGCUGGGGCAAGCACUCCCUGGACACUGGGCUGAGAAUUGAGGAGCGCUCCAUCUCCACAAAGCUGGUUUCCUAAGGGCCCAGCGCUGCCUUGGUCACUGUGCGAGAUGCAAGAGGGUGGUAUGCCUCCACCCCUCAACCUGCUUGGAACCUUGCAGAGGAGACAAGCCAGCGUGGCAAUUGGAGCUGAGAAAACACAAGGACUUUGCGUGGAGUAUGCAUGAGCAGGGGUGUGGGGAAAAGAGAGCUCUGGGUGGGCUGGCAGUCAAUCAACUCCUAUUCCUUAACUAUGUACAGCAAUUGACAAAG